GGCGGCAUGCCUUACACAUGCAAGUCGAACGGCAGCACGGGGGCAACCCUGGUGGCGAGUGGCGAACGGGUGAGUAAUACAUCGGAACGUGUCCUGUAGUGGGGGAUAGCCCGGCGAAAGUCGGAUUAAUACCGCAUACGAUCUACGGAAGAAAGCGGGGGAUCUUCGGACCUCGCGCUGCAGGGGCGGCCGAUGGCAGAUUAGCUAGUUGGUGGGGUAAAGGCCUACCAAGGCGACGAUCCGUAGCUGGUCUGAGAGGACGACCAGCCACACUGGGACUGAGACACGGCCCAGACUCCUACGGGAGGCAGCAGUGGGGAAUUUUGGACAAUGGGGGCAACCCUGAUCCAGCAAUGCCGCGUGUGUGAAGAAGGCCUUUGGGUUGUAAAGCACUUUUGUCCGGAAAGAAAACUUCGUCCCUAAUAUGGAUGGAGGAUGACGGUACCGGAAGAAUAAGCACCGGCUAACUACGUGCCAGCAGCCGCGGUAAUACGUAGGGUGCGAGCGUUAAUCGGAAUUACUGGGCCGUAAAGCGUGCGCAGGCGGUCUGUUACGACCGAUGUGAAAU
rnacentral:rRNA from 1 species